GCUAGGCAAGGUGGCGCAUGCCUGUAAUCCCAGUGGCUCAGGAGGCUGAGACAGGAGGAUCAUGAGUUAAAAGCCAGCCUCAGCAAAAUCAAGGUGCUAAGCAACUCAGUGAGACCCUGUCUCUA
rnacentral:sRNA from 1 species